AAGUACAUGAAUAUUGGGAAGAACUUGGAAAACUCAGAUAUUAUAUAUUGAGGUCUGAAUCCAAUUACAAGCCGACUGAAUUCAUCAAGACUCAUUUAUUCCUCUUAAAUCUUGGGAUUGAUAUAACUGAAAGACAGAUUAAUUAUAGGAAAGCAAGGAACUAGCAUUUGUGCGGGCUUCAGUGAGAUGAUACUUUGUCCCUUAUGAGCAGAUAAAUUUAAUAAGAUGCUGUAGGAAAUCCUUUGUAUGGAUUGCCAAGUGCAGCCACAUUGCCAGGACGUGAAAAAACAACCUGCAUUAUGGGACAAUUUGAGAAUUUAUUAUUACUUCUGAAUGUUAAACACUACUGCAAAAUUUCAAGCUGUUUGAGCUUUCUCUAGUUCUUGAUAUUUUUUAACAACUCCUUAACUUGAGAACACAGUACAGAGGUGGAAAUACCUGAUAAUCUCCAAGUGUAUGUGUCUUAAAACCAGCUGCACAAUAAUCAAAAUAAUACUCCCAUGUUCGAAUGAAUUUUUCAUUGAAUCCCAAAGCCAGAAUUUUGCUUUGCUUCUCCAAGAAAUUUUUUCUCCAGUAUCUAAGUGUUUGAAAGUAAUGAAGUCCAAUAUUUUCCACAUGCUCCACACUUUAACAGAAAAGUGAAGUUAAUUUUGUAGACAAAGAAUAAGAAGAAAGAAUAGGGAUAUGCAGCUAUAAAAUCAAAUUAAAUUUAUACCAGAGUCUUGUUGUAGCAGCCAUUGCUGAUGUUAUCCUUGUUAAUGAUGGCAAACAUCCACCGGGAAAUAUAUAUUCCUUAAUAAAGUCUGAACUUCGCCUGUACUCUUCAUAACGUUCUUCUGGUAUUGAUAUGAACUGUAUGACAAUAAGCCCAUCUUUUGCCAGUACUGAGUCGCAACAUCCAAAGAACUCUUCCAUGUAUUCAUGGCCGACAGCUUCUAUCAUUUCACUGAAAAAGCCAUUGAAACUCGAGCUAUAUUUUAGGCAUUCUAUGGUCAGACAUAAUGUUGGAGGUGGAAGAUCUUACCAGGAUAUGAUUCUGUCAUAUUUAUAGUUUUUAGGCAACUGGCGAUAGUCAGUAAGAAGAAAUCUGAUACGGUCCUGAUACAAGAAUUUGUUAAGGUUUAAAAUGAAGUCUCUUGAAUCUUGACCAUUGAAGGAUAAUAUUUUCUUAAUGUUUCAUAUGCAAGAAUAAGCUUUAUCAUAAAUUAUCUGCCUAUUAUACAUCCCAGUGUUGCAAUUAAAAUUCAAACUAGCCCAGGCAUAAAUACUUUUAGGGCAGUUUAAGGGACAUAACAAUUGCAAAUAUUCUUCAAUUUGAUACCUGAAGGCCAGCUUCCUUCACUUUGCUUUCUGCAUACCUCAGUUGUUCCUCAGAUAGAGUGAUGCCGGUGUAUUUGCAUCCAGUCCGUUUGACAACUUCAAUAGCUAAGGCUCCCCAACCACAACCGAUCUCAAGAAUUUCAUGUUCCUUAUCGACUCUUGCUUUUUCUAUCAGAAGUGAAAUUUUUCUCAUCUGUGCAUCUUUCAAGUCUUCAUCUUCCGUCUUGAAUACAGCAGAGGAGUAUGACAUUGUUUCAUCCAAGAACAAUGCAAAAAGAUCAUUACUCAGGUCAUAAUGACAAGAGAUAUUCCUUCGAGCUUGUGUAAGAUUAUUUUGCCUCGAAACGUGCUGGAUGAAAAAUUUUGCAGAUGCAAUACUAGCAGUGAAUAACAUUGGAGUCCACCAACCCUUUUUCUUAUUCAAUCUCGAUACAGAAUUAUUAAUAUCCCUAUUGGCAAUGAGAACCAUGAAAAGAUUUAGAAGACCUGCAUCUUUAUCAACAAAGGAAAAAUCACCAUUGACAUAUGCAUCUGCAAGGCCUAAAUCAGCCUGUGCCAUUAUCUUCCAGUAAAACUGGGGACUGUGAACUUUCAGAACAACUUUCAGAGAACAUGUUUUAGCCGUUCCCUCAAAGGUAAAAAUUGUGCCUCCCUCCUCCAAUAUAGUUAAACAUCCGGCAGAGAUAAAAUGUCCAAGAAAUCUGGUAACAACAUAGCGCGCACCAAUUUCUAACAGAGAAGGUACCAUGUGCUUUGGAUUGCUUAGAAGAGCACAACUUUUUCCAAGAAAACCAUGUGCAGCAAGCAUGCCAGACUUCAGUCCAUCCUCAUGGAAACCAUAACCCUGGUACGCUCCACAAAACCAAAGUCCCCUCUUCCCUUGAAUAUUUUCAAACUCAAGUGAAGCGUUUGUUGCAGCUACAGAUGGGACUGGAUGGCUGGUUGUCCACUUAAGUAAUGUGUGGUCUGGUGUAUGAUCUGGAUUGAGCGUCACUAAAAAAGGUGGACCAGUAUCACCAAGAUUCUGAAGCACAUUCAACCAAUAUGUCAGGCAUACUUUGUUGUCAUUACUCCCUAGGAAAUUCCAUGCACACCAUGCUACUGGGUUUUGGGGCAUAAAUUUUUCAUCGCGGUGAAGGAAGAUAUCACUGUACACAUACUGGAAAGCACCGAGUAUUCUUUUUUCAUCAAAUGUUGCUUGCUCUCCUAACAUUUUCAAAGUAUCCGGGGCAUGAGAUGUUAUUAUGCAACCGUUGAACAUUUCUUCAGAACCAUCUCCACCGAAUACUCUGCAACCCUUUUCAUCGGUGGAAACCGAGAGUACCUCACAGCCAGUUCUGAUUUGACAGCCCCAGCUUUUCAGCCUUUCUCUGACCUUGUUGACAUAAGUUUGGGACCGCCAUCUGACAGUAAGCCACUGCGGGCGGCCAGUGAGCUGAAGUAAAUGGUGAUUACGGCAAAAUGAGAGUAUGGAGUAAGCUGAAAAGCUCAUAACUUUUUCUGAAUGGCAGGACCAUAUGGAACCGCACAUUGGAAUAAGAUAAGCAUUCUGAAAUACAUCAGAGUAACCCCUGGACUUGAUAAAAGCCCCCAGCGUUUCAUUUCGAUCAAUGUCAGGAUUGUUUUCGAGCAUCUCAAGAUAACUGAGGACAUCAUGCUUAAACUUGACUAGUUCUCGAAGCAUUCGCAAGAAGCGUGGAUUGACAAGAUUCUUCUUCUGUGCAAACAAAGCUGACAGGCCAUUUCUGGUACCCCAUUCAUAACCCUUGCCAUGGUCUAAACUAACUGAGAAUGACAUAUCAGACAACUCGAUAUCCACUUCAAGACUCUCAAAGAAUUCCAUCAUAUUUGGAUAUGUUACCCGAUUGAAGACCAUGAAACCCAGGUCAACGUCAACGCCAUCAAAGCUAACAGUCUUAGAAUGGCCACCAAGGUAGUCUUCUUUCUCGUACAAGACAACCUCAACUCCAGCUUGUGCAAGAACAUAAGCCGAAACAAGCCCAGUAAUCCCGGAACCAAUCACUGCAGUCCUCAUUCUUCUUCCCUCCUUCAAAAAAUGAAAAAUCCUUAAUCUUUUUUAUUAAUUUUGCAGCUAUUACAGGAAACAGAUGCCUAUCUCUUUUUACUCUCUGCGUACCCAAGAAGAAGAAGAAGAAGAAGAA
rnacentral:misc_RNA from 1 species